GAUGAACGCUAGCGGCAGGCCUAACACAUGCAAGUCGUGGGGUAACAGAAGGAAGCUUGCUUCUUUGCUGACGACCGGCGAACGGGUGCGUAACGCGUAUGCAACUUACCCUUGACAUGAGGAUAGCCCCGAGAAAUCGGGAUUAAUACUCAAUGACAUAUUUGAAUGGCAUCAUUUAAAUAUUAAAGCCUUCGGGUGGUCAAGGAUGGGCAUGCGUCCUAUUAGUUAGUUGGCGAGGUAAUGGCUCACCAAGACAAUGAUAGGUAGGGGGUCUGAGAGGAUGAUCCCCCACACUGGUACUGAGACACGGACCAG
rnacentral:rRNA from 1 species